rnacentral:rRNA from 1 species
AUUGAACGCUGGCGGCAGGCCUAACACAUGCAAGUCGAGCGAGCGGCGGACGGGUGAGUAAUGCCUAGGAAUCUGCCUGGUAGUGGGGGAUAACGUCCGGAAACGGGAGCUAAGACCGCAUACCAUAAGAUGUGCCCAGAUGGGAUUAGCUAGUUGGUGGGGUAACGGCUCAGCAAGGCGACGAUCCCGAGCUGGUCUGAGAGGAUGACCAGCCACACUGGAACUGAGACACGGUCCAGACUCCUACGGGAGGCAGCAGUGGGGAAUAUUGGACAAUGGGCGCAAGCCUGAUGGAGCCAUGCCGCGUGUAUGAAGAAGGCCUUCGGGUUGUAAAGUACUUUCAGCGGGGAGGCGUUACCCGCAGAAGAAGCACCGGCUAACUCCGUGCCAGCAGCCGCGGUAAUAC